rnacentral:snoRNA from 1 species
ACUCCCAUUCUUGGCAGGCCCUGGCUGCCCCGUGCCCGGGUCUGUGAUGUCCGGAGGUAGAGCAGCGACUCUUUCACAGGC